rnacentral:rRNA from 1 species
UACGAAGGGGGCGAGCGUUGUUCGGAUUUACUGGGCGUAAAGGGCGCGCAGGCGGCUCCAAAAGUCAGGCGUGAAAGCCCCGGGCUUAACCUGGGAGGUGCGUCUGGGACUGUGGGGCUAGAGUUCGGGAGAGGAGCGUGGAAUUCCCAGUGUAGAGGUGAAAUUCGUAGAUAUUGGGAAGAACACCGGUGGCGAAGGCGGCGCUCUGGACCGAGACUGACGCUGAGGCGCGAAAGCGUGGGGAGCAAACAGGG